ensembl:snRNA U6 U6 spliceosomal RNA
GUGCUCACUCUGGCAGCAUAUACACUACAACUGGAACAAUACGGAAAAGAUGAGCAUGGCCCCUGCACAAGCAUAACAAAAAAAUUCAUGAAGUGUUCCAUAUUUUU